rnacentral:rRNA from 1 species
AUGACACGCGGGACCCAGCAGCUACUCGCAUGCGGGUGGGACCCACAACUUAUCCACACAAGCAUGCCCGUGCUCAUCAGCGUGCCCCGACCCGAGGCAGCCACGAGCCCGAGCCAGCCCACCCCCCCUCCCCCGCGCCCUCCAUUGCUUGCCCUGCCCCUUUCCUUUCCCACCUUCUUCUUCCUCUACACCGGCAAUGAAGCGCGCCGCCGGCGAGUGAUGUCUAGCUCGACUUCGGCCUCCCGCCAAUCAUGGACGCAGUACGGUCCACUGCCGUUGACAAGAUGCCCCGAUUGCCCUCGCAUGGAGCCUCUGAAGCGUUUGACUUGUGUGAGGGAAGAAAAUGGCAACCGUGGGUGCGAGUUUGUGAAAUGCUUGAGCAAGCCACAGCCGGGCCAGGUUGAAAUUGGAGGGAUCAACCCGAACCCAAGAGCUCAAUUUUGGGGGCGGCAUGCCGUGGAACAAGCCCCCAAUUUGGCGGACAGAGCCAAUCCGAUGAUGCACAAUGCAGAACUGAAGUGUGAAUUGAAGAAAAUUGGCAAGCAACUAAAGCAUCUGAUUGAUUUGAAGCAACAAGCAAAUAUGAUGGCUGGAGCAUUUUAUGGUUGUGUCAUUGCUAUGGGUUUAUUUUACUUGAUGUUCAUCAAUCGCUAG